rnacentral:lncRNA from 1 species
CACAAAUAAGAUGCAUUAUUUUGGAAAAAUAUAAAACUGCACUGAUGUGACUGAUGGAGUGUAAUUUUCUUACUAUAGAUUCUGAAUGGUGACUGCAGUUUGAGCGGUGCAGAACAAGCGGUUCAACUGCGGUGCGGUUCUAAUAGUUCUAAAAAUGUAUAGAUAUAUAGUAUAUGUAAAGUUUUUUGUUAUUGUUAACUGUUAGACGGGGCCGAUGAUCACCAUUAGAAGCCUAAAAGAACGUAGAAUAUUAUAAAUAUUUGUUAUUGAUCUCACUUUUGCACGCUUUUAAAGACAUUUUAAAACCUAAGUUCAGAUUUUCUUGAUAGCAUUUUCUUUUUGAUCAAAGCUUGAUAGCAUUUAUUUUCCAACAGUUAAUGGAAGAAAUUUAUAGAUAGGGAACAAAAAGAACCCACCACCCAUGUGCGAACCUCAUCUUUCUUUCUCCUCGUUAAGAACCCAAUGGACCUUCUUCCUCCUUGAUGUGACUCUUUUCUACUUCUUUUUU